GCAGCCUCAUCUCACGUCCAGAGGGCACCAUGCAAGGCAGAGGGGACGCUCACCUCAUGGUUUCAGUAACUCAGCUGGCAGGACAAGUCAGAGAUCUGUUGUCAGAGAUAAUGCAUGGCCCAGCCGCUCUUCAUCCCUCUCCUUGUGCUCUAGCUUGGGUCUCUGGUCUCUGUGCUGUACCCUUUGAGCACCGGCAUGUCUUGUCGCACUGCAAGCCUGACCCGCGAAUAGGAAGUACAUCAGUGCGUACAGCCACGGGUAAAAUAGCAUACGCUGAGUAUUACGCGCUGUCCUGCAGCCCUCGCUGGCCUGAACCUGGUGUGACUUUACUAGUCUCAGGGUGACGUUCAUCCCUGUGCAGAGGCAGCACGAGGCCCUUGCACCGCUUGGUGCUGAACAGGCACCUGGGCCCUGUGCUGGCCCCUUGCUCACGGGCGGAUGCCACCAAAAUACCAGUUAAGAGGCCACCAACCCAAUCCAAGUAUAUUGGCCAUUUUCAGGGAGGCAAGUAUUUGUAAGUCUGUUUUUGCAGUAUUCACUUAGCUCUGGUAGUACCUGCUGUGUAAUGUGUGCCAGAAAUAGCUACCCAGGUAAAUCAAUGAGCAUUGUAAAUAGAUUGUUUGCGGUAUUUUACUUGUGAUUUGCAAGCCCAGAGAUCUUCUGAAUUUUUGCUGACUGGUCUGGGUGUUUUUUCUAUAGUGCUGUCAGAUAGUCUCAGCUUUCACAGGAGGCUGUUGUGAGUGAAUGAAUGAAAGGUUCUUUGCAUUCCCUGGCAUGACAUGGUGGCUUUGUUCUACUGCACAUAACAACAUUUCAGUCCAUUCUUUGUGCUUGGCAGAUGAGCAGUGCCCAUUUGCCUUUGUGCCCAUUUUCCUCUGUAUCUGCUUAGCACUGUCUCCUCUCCUUCUUUGCCAAAGAAGGGCCUGACAAACAGCAGGGUAAUUCAUUGAGUCCAUAUUAAACUGCAAGAGAUGGGGGAGGUUGUAAUGUGACUGACGGUCUGUGUAAUGAUUUCACUCUGUUCAGGAUCCUGAGAGCUCCAGAAUAACUCGAGCUGUUCAAGGUAAAGAACACCAGCCCUCCUGUGCAUACAGCCCUGAAUGCAAUGGCAGAUGGAGGAGGCUGCCACGAGAAGGAGCCAGGGAUGUUUUUUGCUGUUUGCAUAGACCCAUACAUUCUCAGCGCUCACACACACUUCAGCCCCUUCCAAUCUCUCUGCUCUUGAUGGAGCAAGUCAGCAACCAUAACAGAUAAUACUUGUCAUUUUCUACCAUUUUGUAUGUUCAAAGCACUGUACUGGUACUAACAAACUAAUUCUCACGAUGGCCCCAGGAAGCAGGUGGGCAAGUAUUAUAACUUUCUCCUUUUUACUGAUGGGGGAAACUGAGGCAAAGAGGUACAAUGACUUGCCCAAGGCCACAGAGUCAGUGGAAUAGGGAAUAGAGCUCAGGAUCUCUUGUCUCGUAAUCCCAUGCUCAUUUCUUCAGACCAUGUGACCUCUCCCUUGCCAGCCCCUAAAAGUGGGCAGUUCUUGUUAUAGGGGUUUUUGCUGCUGAGUGUUGGGACGAUAGUUCAGAGUCUGUAAUUAAACAAAUCUUACUUUAUUAAACUGGGACAUGUAAUAAGCAAGGGGAAUAAUAUGCUUUAAUCUAAGUAGGACACGGGCAAUUAGACAGGUGUGAACAUGUGAUACGAUUUCUGGAAGUUGGGCAAGUUCUGUGGGAGUCGGAGGAGGGAUGUCAGCAUCUCCUACCCUUUAACAGCAGAGGCCUGAUCCCCACUGCCUGGCAUUGUGUGUGUGGCGGUUACAUCAGCCUAGCUCUGCCAGUGUCUACUCACUACAGUGUUGCUCCGGCCGACGUAAGUCGCCCACUACACCAACCUAAUAACGCCACCGCCGCGAGAGGUGUUGGGCGCUUUGGUCGAUGUAGUUAGGUCAACGCAGUGUCAGCGCUUUCAUCGGUCUGUUCUGGCUGUCAGCCCCAGCAGCUGAAACCAAUGUAAUUACUAUGUUGGCUGUAUGUCGACAUGACUUAAUUUUGUCACGUAGACUUGCCCUGAUUCUCCUGUCGCUUACACUGACCGUGCGUCCCGCCUCUCCAUUCAGUGGUGUGUGUUUUUUUGUUUUUGUUUUUCUCAACAGCGGUGUCAGCAGCAGUCCAGGGAAGGAGCACUCCAGCCGGCAACAGCAGCAGCUCAAGGGAGGGAGAAGGAGCUCCAGCCAGCAGGGCAGCCAGAGAAGAGGGAGGGCUCCAGCCAGCAGGGCAGCCUAAGCAGACUGACCCUCCCUCCUGUACCUAUUGGGUUCCGGGAAGACCCCCCACCCCCACCCCAGCCUAAGGGGAGGAUCCACAGGACCUGGAAACCAAAUGAUUCCGGGGACAACUAAUGAAAUAACAGGGACAGGAGUGCAGUCAAAGGGUUAAAAGAAGGGAGCCUGACGGGGACACCGAGCAGAGAACCCCGGACAGUGCCCACUGCUCCUCAAAGGCGUCAAGGGAGCCAGUGGACGCUGCCCGUUACUCCAUAUUCAGACCAGUGUGAGUGAGAGGAGAGCUGGUGUCCUUGUGCUGCACCUCUUUCACCCAUGCAAAGUGAGCGUGAAGUGCUGUCAAAUCUGAAUGCUCCAGACGCUAAGCUUUUUAUACCUUUUUUGCACAGGUAUAAGUCUCCACCCAAAGCACAGGAAAGUAGAGAAUUGGUCCACAGAUGGUGGAGAAUCAGGCCCUGGGGGCUAUUUUAUUAUGAGUUAACUUUGUAAGGAAACCAGGACAGGGAAAGCUGAAGCAUCGUGGAAAGAACAAUGACAAUUUCUGAAUUUUAAGCAGAUCUGGGCCUGCUCAGGGGUUGGGAUCUCAAUUUCAGAGAGAAAGGAGAAGUGAAUAGGAAAUGAUGUCUCUUAAACAUUCCCUGCACAAUGUGAGCACAUGCAGGGCUAUGCAAUAGGACGGGGUGCCAAACAAGUCACCCUUCCUUCCCCAAAGGACAUCUCCUUCCUAUUAUUAUUAUUAUUUUAAGGUCAGGCUUGACAAAGCCCUGGCUGGGAUGAUUUAGCUGGGGGUUGGUCCUGCUUUGAGCAGGGGGUUGGACUAGAUGACCUCCUGAGGUCCCUUCCAACCCUGAUAUUCUAUGAUUCUAUGAUUCUAUUAUUUGCAUUGUGAUGGAUCAGGGUCCACUGUGCUAGCCACUGUACAAACGCAGAAAAAAGGGCAGUCUCUGCCCCGAGGAGUUCGCACAAUCUUAUCCUCAUCACUGUCGUGUCUGAGAGCUUUCCAGCAGUGUAGUAAGCUACAUGACAAACAUCUGUCACUUGCUUGGGUUUUUUCUCUCUUCGUCUCCUACAUGACAAUUUGGGGAUUUUUUAAUUUCUUUUCUUUAUAUUAAUAGACUGUACACACACUAUACCAUGGGUUUAUAGUUGCAAAACACACACUGACAUUCUGCUGACACAAGCUGUUCAGUCCAACAACACACAAAGCAGGAAAAUACACCAGAGAGGCCGUUGGUUGUUCUGGGCUAAGUGGCCCCCUGCUCUGAUGCAGUAUGGCAAUCCCGACGUUCCUAUAUUGCCAUCCAGAUUGCUCUGCAUGGCAUGACAUCUAGAGUGUGCUGUUACUGGAAGUCGAAACAUGUCAUCUAAAAGUUGAUUCUGUGCCUAUUGGGAAGCUGCUGUUAACUGGAGCACACGUUAUGUGGGGUUUUACUUUGGAUUUUAACCGACUAUAUGUAGAUUACCACCUCAAGAGAGUGAGUUACUGGAAAUAACUG